CCUCCAGAGGUGCUGUCGACAUCUGGGCCUGCGGUUGGGACCAGACGCGGGAGGGAGCGCUGGGUCCACGAUGACUCAGCUCUCUUGGGA
rfam:Equus caballus cont2.2346, whole genome shotgun sequence.